UACGGAGGGUGCGAGCGUUGUCCGGAAUCACUGGGCGUAAAGGGCGCGUAGGCGGCCUGAUAAGUAGGGGGUGAAAUCCUGCGGCUUAACCGCAGGGCUGCCUUCUAAACUGUCAGGCUAGAGCACAGUAGAGGCAGGUGGAAUUCCUGGUGUAGCGGUGAAAUGCGCAGAUAUCAGGAGGAACACCGGUGGCGAAGGCGGGUCUCUGGGCCGUAACUGACGCUGAGGAGCGAAAGCGUGGGGAGCGAACAGG
rnacentral:rRNA from 1 species